GACGAACGCUGGCGGCGUGCCUAAUACAUGCAAGUCGAACGCAUUUUCUUUCACCGUAGCUUGCUACACCGAAAGAAAAUGAGUGGCGAACGGGUGAGUAACACGUGGGUAACCUGCCCAUCAGCGGGGGAUAACACUUGGAAACAGGUGCUAAUACCGCAUAAUUCCAUUUACCGCAUGGUAGAUGGAUGAAAGGCGCUUUUGCGUCACUGAUGGAUGGACCCGCGGUGCAUUAGCUAGUUGGUGGGGUAACGGCCUACCAAGGCUGCGAUGCAUAGCCGACCUGAGAGGGUGAUCGGCCACACUGGGACUGAGACACGGCCCAGACUCCUACGGGAGGCAGCAGUAGGGAAUCUUCGGCAAUGGACACAAGUCUGACCGAGCAACGCCGCGUGAGUGAAGAAGGUUUUCGGAUCGUAAAACUCGGUUGUUAGAGAAGAACAAGGAUGAGAGUGGAAAGUUCAUCCCUUGACGGUAUCUAACCAGAAAGCCACGGCUAACUACGUG
rnacentral:rRNA from 1 species